rnacentral:rRNA from 1 species
AAAGAUCCGUCGGAUGGGGAUAGGCUCGCGUGACAUUAGCUAGACGGCGGGGUAACGGCCCACCGUGGCGACGAUGUCUAGGGGUUCUGAGAGGAAGGUCCCCCACACUGGAACUGAGACACGGUCCAGACUCCUACGGGAGGCAGCAGUGAGGAAUAUUGGUCAAUGGCCGGAAGGCUGAACCAGCCAUGCCGCGUGAAGGUCAGUGCCCUAUGGGCGUUAAACUUCUUUUGUGCGGGAGCAAUAAUGGUCACGUGUGGCCAGACGAGAGUACCGUACGAAUAAGCAUCGGCUAACUCCGUGCCAGCAGCCGCGGUAAUACGGGGGAUGCAAGCGUUAUCCGGAUUUAUUGGGUUUAAAGGGUGCGUAGGCUGUGAGGUAAGUCAGCGGUGAAAUGCCCCCGCUCAACGGGGUGAAGUGCCAUUGAUACUGCCUUGCUGGAAUGCGGAUGCCGUGGGAGGAAUGUGUGGUGUAGCGGUGAAAUGCAUAGAUAUCACACAGAACACCGAUUGCGAAGGCAUCUCACGAAUCCGCGAUUGACGCUGAUGCACGAAAGCGUGGGUAUCAAACAGGAUUAGAUACCCUGGUAGUCCACGCUGUAAACGAUGAUGACUAACCGUCGGCGAUACACAGUCG